UACGAAGGGGGCUAGCGUUGCUCGGAAUCACUGGGCGUAAAGCGCACGUAGGCGGAUCCUUAAGUCGGGGGUGAAAUCCUGGAGCUCAACUCCAGAACUGCCUUCGAUACUGAGGAUCUCGAGUCCGGGAGAGGUGAGUGGAACUGCGAGUGUAGAGGUGAAAUUCGUAGAUAUUCGCAAGAACACCAGUGGCGAAGGCGGCUCACUGGCCCGGAACUGACGCUGAGGUGCGAAAGCGUGGGGAGCAACAGG
rnacentral:rRNA from 1 species